rnacentral:siRNA from 1 species
UUGAUAUGGACUCACUCUCAGG